CCGCGCCACGCCUCCCACGCUCAAUAAGACAAGAGGUUUCUGCGGCCCUAAAUCGCUCAUCUGGUUCAUCAGAUAUCUGAGGUUGUCAAUACUCAAUUCCAUGAAAGAUCUGAUAGAUAUCUGUCGGGAGCACAAAAUUGGAGCAAUUGGUAAAUUUUAAAUUGCUUUUGUUACUAUAUUACCCUAUUGGGCUGCAUGUCAUUGUUUUCAUGUCUUAUCCUUAAAAAAAAUGCUAGUCAUUCCUCAUUUGACAAGAUGUUGAUGUCUUUCCUGCUCAGUUCCUAUGCUGAUACUGAAUUUUUGUUUAUUAUCCCUUUUUUUUUG